rnacentral:lncRNA from 1 species
CCCAGAGCAGAAUGUUUACCCAGGUGACCAGGAGAACAGCUUUAUCUUGUCUUCAUUUUCCUGUUUUGCUGCCACAUUCAGUACCAGAACCUCAGGAGCCUACAGGUGGAGCUCAAAUUGGAGACCCAUGUGUCACCCGUCCUGCAGUAAGCCAGCUCAGAGCCCUCCCAUCAAAGCAGGAG